rnacentral:rRNA from 1 species
GAUGAACGCUAGCGGCAGGCUUAAUACAUGCAAGUCGAGGGGUAGCAAGAUUGUAGCAAUACAAUUGUUGACGACCGGCAAACGGGUGCGGAACACGUACACAACCUUCCUACAAGUGGGGAAUAGCCCAGAGAAAUUUGGAUUAAUACCCCGUAACAUAGCGAUGUGGCAUCACAUUGCUAUUAUAGCUUCGGCGCUUGUUGAUGGGUGUGCGGCUGAUUAGAUAGUUGGCGGGGUAACGGCCCACCAAGUCUACGAUCAGUAGCUGAUGUGAGAGAAUGAUCAGCCACACGGGCACUGGGCCACGGGCCCGGCUCCUACGGGAGGCAGCAGUAAGGAAUAUUGGACAAUGGACGCAAGUCUGAUCCAGCCAUGCCGCGUGAAGGAUUAAGGCCCUCUGGAUUGUAAACUUCUUUUAUAAGGGACGAAAAAAGGUCUUUCUAGAUCGUCUGACGGUACCUUAUGAAUAAGCACCGGCUAACUCCGUGCCAGCCGCCGCGGUAACAC